UACGUAGGGGGCGAGCGUUGUCCGGAAUUAUUGGGCGUAAAGCGCGUGUAGGUGGCCAGAUAAGUCCGCUGUGAAAUCUCGAGGCUCAACUUCGAGCUGUCGGUGGAAACUGUCUGGCUAGAGUCCGGAAGAGGAGAAUGGAAUUCCUGGUGUAGCGGUGAAAUGCGCAGAUAUCAGGAAGAACACCCGUGGCGAAGGCGGUUCUCUGGGACGGUACUGACGCUGAGACGCGAAAGCGUGGGGAGCGAACAGG
rnacentral:rRNA from 1 species